AAUAAACAAAUCUUUUAUUUUUUAGCUAUAAUGUUUGACGCUUCGUCUUAUUCAAAAAAGUUUUACGAUUAAUAUUUUUAUUUUUAUUAGAUGAUAAAUCAUGAAUAGAACUUUGUGACUAUUUUUUAAAAUUUUUUUUAAAUAAGACGGAUGGUCAAAUGCUAGAUACAGAUAGUCAAAAAUUUGCCAAAU
rnacentral:pre_miRNA from 1 species